AUUGAACGCUGGCGGCAGGCCUAACACAUGCAAGUCGAGCGGAGAGGCGGACGGGGGAGUAAAGUCUGGGAAACUGCGUGAUGGAGGGGGAUAACACUUGGAAACGGUGGAUAAAACAGCAUACGCCCAGAGGUGCCCCGAUGGGAUGAGCUAGUGGGUGGGGUAACGGCUCACCUAGGCGCGGAUCCGUCGCUGGUCUGAGAGGAUGAUCAGUCACACUGGAACUGAGACACGGUCCAGACUCCUACGGGAGGCAGCAGUGGGGAAUAUUGGACAAUGGGCGAAAGCCUGAUCCAGCCAUGCCGCGUGUGUGAAGAAGGUCUUCGGAUUGUAAAGCACUUUAAGUUGGGAGGCGUUACCAACAGAAGAAGCACCGGCUAACUCCGUGCCAGCAGCCGCGGUAAUAC
rnacentral:rRNA from 1 species